UUGUCUAAAGGACUAAGCCAUACAUGCGAAAGUAUAGAUUUUUAUAUAAAAUCGAAACUGCGAACGGCUCCUUAAAACAGUUAUAAUAUACUUGGAAUUGUUUUUUACAAGGAUACCUACGGAAACGCUGUAGCUAAUACUUGCAGAUAUAUCUUUGUAGAUGUAUCGUAUUCGUUGGCUUUAGCGGUAUGGUGUAUUAUAUAUCCUGUGGAAUCACAACGAAGAAGUGACGCGUCCAUUAUUUUGAUGGUUAGCGCGUACCAAUCGAGUUUCUGAUCUAUCAGCUAAUCACGAAGGUAUUGUCUUGGUGAGGCUAUGACGGAUAACGGGGAAUUAGAGUUCGAUUCCGGAGAGGGCGCCUGAGAGAUGGCGACUGUAACUACGGUUAGCAGCAGGCGCGAAAAUUGCCCAAUGCCGACAAGGCGAGGCAGCGACCAGACAUACCAGGCUUCGAUCGUUUUCACGGUUGAUGAACUGGAUUCGGAUCUCCCUAAACGAGAGGUCGAGAGGUAGUUUAGAUCAAGUUGAAGUGCCAGCAUUCGCGGUAAUACUUCCUCAAACGAAUGUAUGUUAAAGUUGUUGCGGUUAAAACGCUCGUAGUUGAUUAUCUACCACAGGUUGUUGACCAAUUGUAAUCUAAUUUUUUUUUAAAAAUUUAGUAUUGCUGAUUGGUCCUCUGUGGCAUGACUAAAAACUUUUUUUUGUAUUUUAUAAUAUGAAUGGGUUUUGUCGUUACCUUGAGUAAAUUAGAGUGUUCAAAGCAAACUUAUUUUGUUUGAAUACCACAGCAUGGAAUAACUGCAUUGCGCCAAUGUUUGUUUGUUCGCACGAGCUGCACAAACUUGGUGCCGAUUAAUAGGAGCAGUUGGGGGCAUCCGUACUCCGAAGCUAGAGGUGAAAUUCUGUGACUUUCGGAAGACGCACGACUGCGAAGGCACUUGUCCAAAAUGCGUCCAUUAAUCAAGAGCGAAGUUAUGGGCAUCGAAAAAGAUCAGAGACCUUUGUAAUCCAUAAAGUAAACUAUGCCGUCCAAGACGGAGUGAGCUUCCUAUGACGUUCUCUUGCUUAUUAUAUAAGAUUACUAAAAGUUUCGGCUUUGUGUUAAUUAUUUGUAAUAUAGAAUGUAGAGACAUCGCUUAGGCUGAUUCUGUCUUUGUGAGAAAUCCGAGAUUUUGGGUUCCGGGGCGAGUAUAAGCGCAAGCUAGAAAGUUAAAAGAAUUGACGGAGGGACACCACAAAGCGUGGAGCUUGCGGCUUAAUUUGACUCAACACGGGAAACCUCACUAGUGUAAGACAGCGGUAGGAUUGACAGGUUUGCAGACCUUUCAUGAUUCGCUGGCGGGUGAUGCAUGGCCGUUCCUAGCUCUUGGCGUGAGCUGUCUGGUUAAUUCCGAUAACGAGCGGGACCUCCCCUUCCGUUUGUGCAGUUGCCAUACAAAAGAUAUAAAAAUGUUUUUUUUUUGUUUCUGUUGCUUUCAAUUUACAUUCUUCUUUAGAAGAUGUGAAUAUGAUUAGUAAUAUUUGCAAAUAAAAAUAUUUUAUAUUUUUGACAAUUUAAUUUUUGCAGUACGGAGGGACGUCGCGUGUUUAACGCGAGGCAGGGAGGCCACAACAGGUCUGUGAUGUCCUCAGAUAUGCUAGGCUGCACGCGUGCUACACUGGCGCGCGCAUCGGGCUUAGAUAUAAAAAAUAACUUAUUUUAUGUAAAUGAAUUUUUUUUUCCUCUCUUGAGAAAGCGGGGGAAUCCUGAAUGCGCGCCGUGACGGGGAUCGAAUCUUGCAAUUAGGAUUCUUGAACGAGGAAUGCUUAGUAAGCGCAACUCAUCAGGUUGCGCUGUAUGCGUAACUGCCCUUUGCACACACCGCCCGUCGUUGCUUUUAAUGGAGUGCCAAGUGACUUGUGUAGAGCGUUCGUUCGGUUAUUCGUUCGUUGCAAAGCACUGGGAACUUUGUUCUCUAGAGAAAG
rnacentral:rRNA from 1 species